CCCCAAUCCCACAACCACCUCAAUCCCCAAUCCCACAACCACCUCAAUCCCCAAUCCCACAACCACCUCAAUCCCCAAUCCCACAACCACCUCAAUCACCACUCUUCCAGUUACCUCUACUACCAUUACAACACUGAGCAGCAGGUCUAGACACAUACUUGUAGUGAGCAUAAAACUUUCCUAUCAGCCACUGCUUACAGGUUUGCUCACAGAUGCAAACAUCACAACAGAAGUCUUACCACAAAUCCGUGAUCAACUGAUCACAAACGGGGUGCCAGAGAGCUUCAUCACACUGAGGCUGAUAGCAACUCAUGAUGUCAGAUCCUGAGUGAGGGGCAGGAAUUCGGCUUACGUUUCUUUCACUCGCGGUGCCUUCAGAAAUUAUUCAGACCCCUUCACUUUCUGUCUUUCUGUUUCUGUCAAUCUACACACCCACAUAAAAUGCUAAAAACCUUUGUACCAUUUUUCCAUUUUAUUAAAAAUAAAAAUCAGAUAUCUUAUGUACAUAUUCAGUCCCUUUGUUCAGUACUUGAGAAGUGCCUUUGGCAGCAAUCAAUCCAGUUUAUUUCCUAAAGCCCUUUUUACAACAGCAAUUGUGUCAAAGUGCUUAUAUAGACACCCAAGAAACCCUAAACCGCAAGCAAAAACAUGGUUUGAUUCACAGGAAAAACUCCCUAUGAAGAAACUUAGAGAGGAAUCAGACUUCUGGCUGUGCCGGCUGAAGAUUACAAAUGAUAAUAAUUAAUAAAUGCAUGUGGGCUGUGUCCAGUGUCUAUAAACAGAUCACAGUCUCAUUGGGUACGUCUCUACCAGCUUUCCACACCUGGAUUUUGGCAGUUUCGCCCAUUCUUCCUUGCAUAUCCCUUCAAACUCUGUCAGGAUGAGUAGCGUCAGUGAACUGUGAUCUUUAGGUGUCCCCACUCAGGGACAUCCACAGACUUGGAGUGCUGAAGGCUUGGAGUACUGAAGCCAUUCCAGCGGGGUCUUGGUUGUGUGCCUCAGAUUGUUGUAAUGCUGAAAGAUGAAUCUUCGCCCCAGUCUAAGGUCCUGUGUGCAAGGGUCAUUCUGGCAGUUUCACCCAUCUUGGAAGAAAAACUCUGAAGCCCUGGUAGAGUGGCCAUUGUGAUUUUCAUUACUUACCUCACCAAAGCACUUCUUGCUUUGUUACUUAGUUUGUCCAGACUGGCAGUUCUAGAAAGAAAUCAGGUUGGAGACCACCACAAUGAUGGAGCCCACCAUGCACCUCGGAAUUUUCAACAGGCCCACUUUAGCAAUUAUCUUUUCAAGUAAACAAACACUCAGUACUUGCAUUAAUACCUCAGUGAAAUUCAGUGUUGUUUUGCUUCUCUACCUUGACAAGAUACAAUCCUGUUUCCCCCCUUCAAAUUAACACUCAAUACAAUCUGGCUACCUCAGUAUAAAUUGUCAAUCUGCCUGCCCCAACACCAGUUGUCAAUCUGCCUGCCCCAACACUAGUUGCUUACUGUUGUUUGAGGCUGGGUAUCUGUAUAAGCAUUUUGUGACAACUGCUGAUAUAAAAAUAGAGUUGUAAAGAAAAUGGGACUGAUUUGUCUAUAUGCAUUGAGAUUCCCGAGGUUUCCAUGAGAACUGAAGCAAAUUAGCGAGGCUAGGAUUUAUUUUCUCUCUUUUGGUAAUUUUUAAGAAAGUAUAAGGUUGGAAAACACAAUUAAAUAGAUUAUUACCAUAGCCUAAAUUGACAGGGAGCGUCAUCCUUUAUCUGGGGGUAUCCCCCAUUACGAGUGAUUUGUGUCUGCCUGGGUAAUCUCUGGCCACCUGGAUGUAGCAAUUAUUACAUUGCCUGGUCGAAAAUAUUUGAGCCACAUUCGAUAAAUUAUUUUUAUAGACAAGAAUGUUUUUUUGAGUGGGACACAAAAUGUCCCACUCAAAAAAAGAAUAGCCUACAUAGAAGGAUUAUUUCUAAGCACACAGUCAAUAAUAUUUUAAUUAGUUUAUUAGGCCCCACAAAUGUACUAAAUGAAAAUUACACAACACUGAAAUUAUUCCAAAUUAUUCCAUUUGAAUUUAGUUUUAAUUUCCAUCUAAUUUUGAUGAUGUACAAGGUAAUAAGAGACACUGUCGACCAGUUCGCUACGAUCAAAGGAUAUCGGCAUGAAUAGCCUUACAAAGGCCUAAAGCACUGUUGCUUAGUAAACCCAAUACAUUUGAUAAAUAAAUAAAGGAAAGGAAGAGUUACAGUUAGUCUACACUGUCACGGUGCCACCUGUGAUCAAGCCAGCCUCCGGCUGCUGGCACCGCUUUCACGGUCUCCACUAUUAAGCACACCGGUUCCUGAUCACAUCACCCAGGACUUCCCAUCAUUAUGCACACCAAAUUGCUAGGCCUACAGCUAAGAAAAACUGCACCAGGGUUUACAUUAGCCGGCAAAGGCCGUAUUCUGACAGAUUAAAAUAUCAACUGUCAAAAUGUCCGGUGGUAAAUAUGCCAAGUGAAUAAGUAAAUAGAUUAAUAGCAUAUUAAAUAGCCUAAUAUUGAGUGACCUGUAUGAUCUGUUGCCAAGAAAACAGCAAGCCUCCCCUCACCCUCACAAUAAUAAGACAUUACUGAGUCAUGUGACUGGCUUGGCGCGAGAAUCAAAAGCAGCACAAACCGGCAUAGACAUAAUAAAGAGUAGACCCUGCAUUGGCUGCUGGGCGCGGGAAAUACGUCCGCCAUCUUGGACCGGUCGUACUCCUAAUUGCGUUGCAGCAGAAACAACGAUGCCAGAGCACUGUGGAGCAUAGUCCUGCUCAUAUCGGCGGACCAUCGAAAGCAGGGCUCGUGGGAUUACUUUUCACAAGUAAGAUUUAACAUUACCGUAUAAUUGGUUGUAUUUUGUGACUAGAAUAUUACCAGAGAGUUGAGAAGGAGCAAGGAUCUUUGAUAUUACUGUAAUGCACCAGCCGGUGUUCACCCAGCUAUGAACUGAGACUUGAUUAGUCAUAUUCCAUAACACUGGCUUAGAUUACAACUGACACAAGAAUGCUAUUGUAGAAAUAAAACAAAUAUUACUGGAAUAACAUUGGCCAGCUUAUUUUACACAAGUGGCACAGACUGUAUCAUAUAUAGUCGUAUAUAUAAAUAAAAGACAGUAUUAUCAGUGUUGGGCAAUACUAGCUUAGCCAGUAACUUAGUAUUUUGGUGGUAGCUUCACUAUUUCCAGAGUCAAGGAACUUUUCAGUAGUAGUAACUCCUUUAUUUACAAAGUAGCUUGGCCACACAAGCUACACUUUUCUUGUCAUGUCAAAUUAGCACAACUUAAAGUAGCUUCCUAUGUAGUGAACUAGCCUACUGCUGUGUUUUUGUUAUUUAUUGUGUUCCUAAGAUGCUCCUAACUGCUUCAGUUUUGUUUGUCUGAAUUGUUUUGUAUUUAGUGUUUUUCAGGUCCUAGAUGCUUCUAAAUGGUAUGUAUUACACAACAUCAACUUUAUGCAGGUGUCAGAAAGAUUGGUAUGUAUGUUGAUAGGAUGUUAUCUUGUUUACAUGUUUUUCAAUAUGCAGUUUUGUUUCUGUUGGCAUUAUCUUGUAUUCAAUGUGUUUUUCAGGUCCUAGAUGCUUCUAAAUGGUAUGUAUUACACAACAUCAACUUUAUGCAGGUGUCAGAACGAUUGGUAUGUAUGUUGAUAUGAUGUUAUCUUGUUUAAAUGUUUUUCAAUAUGCAGUUUUGUUUCGUUUGGCAUUAUCUUGUAUUCAGUGUGUUUUUCAGGUCCUAGAUGUUUCUAAAUGGUAUGUAUUACACAACAUCAACUUUAUGCAGGUGUCAAAAGGUUAGGUAUUGUAUGUUGAUAUGAUGUUAUCUUGUUUAAAUGUUUUUCAAUAUGCAGUUUUGUUUCGUUUGGCAUUAUCUUGUAUUCAGUGUGUUUUUCAGGUCCUAGAUGUUUCUAAAUGGUAUGUAUUACACAACAUCAACUUUAUGCAGGUGUCAGAACGAUUGGUAUGUAUGUGUUGUUUUCAAGUUAUCCCAGUUCUGCAAUUACAUUGUUCCAAGUUAAUGUUCCUUUGUGUACAAGUAUACUGUAUAAGUUAAACAAGAAACUGAUCCCAUUCCUAAAAACAUGGAUGCAAACUAAUUAUCUAUCUGCCCUGGUAGCUGUUUCCCAUUUUCAUUCUCUGUGAGUUUGCACCCCUGUGAUAGGCACUUUACUGCUUUGUAUUAACAAAAUCACAUGGGGCUUUCUUGGGGUGUCUUUGCCAUGAUCAGAGUAAUACAACUUUUUUAUUUUGCAGGUACUUGUCGGUCAUCGGAUUUGUCAUCAAUAUCGACGUGUGAUGCUGAUGAUUCCUGAACUGCUUGGGGCUCCUUUUUAAUUCAAUCAGCGCAUCAGGUAGGGUUGGUGUUCUUUUAAUUACAAUUAAUUUGGAAAAUAUACCUAAUGAAUAGCUUCAUGUCUUGUGAGUAAUGUAUGUAUUGUGUGCCUGUUUUCCAUACGAGGCGGCUGGAAUAACAAUCCAUCGGCACGCCAGUUCCAGGCCAUCUUCUGCCGGCUGAUGGUUCGGUGUGGUGUCUCACCUGGUGAGACAGGCAAUGUGGCAGCCCAGGAUAACACUGUCCCUGUCUGCAGUGGAGAUGUCCUCUCCUGAAACUGCUGAAGAGCACCCAUCUCCAUUCGCCCACAUUUGCCCCUUGUGUGUGACCACAGUUAUCUCCCCACUCGGUUUGGUGGUCUGGUGGCAAAUGCUCUGGUCAACAUAGCAGGGUUUGUAGUCCGGAAGAUUCUACGAAAACUGUCCUGUGAUGUGUGCCAUGCGAGCUUGGUCAGAGAUGCUGUACCAUCGUCAUUUGACAAGAGCUACCACCUUCUAAACCUGAAAAACAACGGCGGCCGAGUCAUUCCAUCACAAGGUGCUGAGAGCUGCAGAGGGGGUGAUUCACCAAUGCAAGCUCCUGAGGUGUCGACAGUCACACACAUCGUCCGGGAGGAGAUUGGAACGGAGGAUGUUUUUUGCUUGGGGAACACAUUGAGGAGACUCAGUUUGGCAUCGACAACCAUCAGUCUGACUUGUUGUCAUUGGUUGUGUCUGUGUUUCUCAAAAUAAGUCCCGCACCACAUUGCCAAACUCACCUCUCUUGAACUGCAGAAAGGGAGCACGAGGAAGAAGCUCUGCAAAACUGUCCUCUUUCAGGGGUUUUAGAGCGUGUGUGUGUGUGUUGUUCCAUGACAAUUCAAGACUUUAAUCCUAAAUUCCGGCAUCCAAAAACUAAUUCUAAGCUUUAUAUCUGUACUUUUAACCUUACUCAUCACACAUAGUAUCUUUAUGUCAUAUAUGUCAUCAUUCUGACAAGAUUAACACUGAAACUGAAAGCAAUGGCUUAAAACUGCCUGGAAACAGUGGUCUGUCACAUUAUAUGUGAAUACUGCUGUGUUGGUGGGUCUGUAAAUACCUCUGUUUGUUUGUGUUUCAUGAACUCUAGCCUCAUGGUGUGUGUCUCCAGGAAUCCAAAUGUUGGUCUCCUUUGCCUUACACUGGGUUUGUGAGCUUGUGUAUAGUGAAAUGUAUCUUUACAUUAUGUCUUUGUGAUUGUCUUAACCCUGAUCUCUUUCCCUCUGGGUUCUGUAAAGCACUUUGUAACUGUGUUUUGAAAAUUGCUACAUUAAGUUUGCAGACUUUUCUAGGGAGUUUCAACAUAGUAAAUGUGCAGUUUAAAUAAAAACCGUCACUUUUCAUUUCAUCCUGCUAUUUUAGACAGAGUACUGGGACCCGUGUGUGUAUGUUGGGAGGGGGGCUGCGAAAUUAAAGAGAGAGAGAGAGAAUGAAAAAAAUAUAUAUAUACUGCCACUAUUUACACAUUAGGUGUAUCAAUCAGAAUGAUAGUCAAACUGGAAAUGUCCCUGUUCUUCUCCCUUUUUGGGGAUAAUGUUCCCAGUUUUGUUCUCGUUUUGAUCUCGGAUGUCUAUUACUGUUAAAUGAUAUUACUGUUAAGCCCACUAUGAAUAUUAAAAUACCCUGAACCAUG
ensembl:lncRNA